GUCACUUCAGUAGCACAUAUACUAAAAUUGCAACAAUACAGAGAAGAUUAGCAUGGUCCCUGCACAAGGAUGACAUGCAAAUUCAUGAAGUGUUCAAUAUUUUU